rnacentral:rRNA from 1 species
AGUGAGCGCUGGCGGUAGGCCUAACACAUGCAAGUCGAACGGCAGCACAGUAAGAGCUUGCUCUUACGGGUGGCGAGUGGCGGACGGGUGAGGAAUACAUCGGAAUCUACUUUUUCGUGGGGGAUAACGUAGGGAAACUUACGCUAAUACCGCAUACGACCUACGGGUGAAAGCAGGGGAUCUUCGGACCUUGCGCGAUUGAAUGAGCCGAUGUCGGAUUAGCUAGUUGGCGGGGUAAAGGCCCACCAAGGCGACGAUCCGUAGCUGGUCUGAGAGGAUGAUCAGCCACACUGGAACUGAGACACGGUCCAGACUCCUACGGGAGGCAGCAGUGGGGAAUAUUGGACAAUGGGCGCAAGCCUGAUCCAGCCAUACCGCGUGGGUGAAGAAGGCCUUCGGGUUGUAAAGCCCUUUUGUUGGGAAAGAAAAGCAGCAGGUUAAUACCCCGCUGUUCUGACGGUACCCAAAGAAUAAGCACCGGCUAACUUCGCG